UACGUAGGUGACAAGCGUUGUCCGGAUUUACUGGGCGUAAAGAGCGCGCAGGCGGUCGAUCAAGUCGAGUGUGAAAGCCCCCGGCUCAACUGGGGAGGGUCAUUCGAUACUGAUCGACUCGAAGGCAGGAGAGGGUAGUGGAAUUCCCGGUGUAGUGGUGAAAUGCGUAGAUAUCCGGAGGAACACCAGUGGCGAAGGCGACACGCUGGGCCGUACCUGACGCUAAAGCGCGACAGCAUGGGGAGCAAACGGG
rnacentral:rRNA from 1 species